GGUUGGAGGAGGCAGGGCUGGGAUAGUAAUGCCAUCCACAUUGCCCUUGCACCAGAUUCAUAGAUCUCUGAGAGCAACUAGAGGACCAGUCAUCUUCAGAUGAGAAAAAAUUGUGGGAAGGGCCAGAUUGUUCAUUGUGCUGGUAAUGAUGGAUAUCACAAUUGAGCAAGCUGAAGGUUACUGACUACUCAGUUUCUGACCCGAGUGAUGGAGGAGUGAUGGAGGAAGCUGUAAACUCAGUCCAGGAGCUGAGCAGGGAUGGGCCUGGAGCAUCAUGCCGGUAGCCUGUGGGAUGCUGGGCUCCACAACAGGGUUGUUGUUCUGCCCAUUGUUGCCUUUGGCUUCCCCUUGGCAUUGAUACUUAAUUGCAUUCCAACUGGACUGCAGCUCCCCUUGAAGCAGUCAACGGAUGCUCCUGCAGAUGUCUGACUCCAGUCUUCCACAAAGGAAUGGAGAAGAGCCAGCCGGGGAUAUGGAUAGAAUCCCUAGCAUGACAUACCAACAUCACUACAGCUGGGCUGGUCACUGACUGACGCACCACUAACUUGCUUCCUGAAGUAAGCCAUUUGUUGAGAAACCGAAGGAGACUUGUUUCUCCGUCCUCACUCUCAAAGACUAAGGCAGAGGCUGCGGGUGGCUACUGAGCAUGCGCUUGACGGUGACUCCCACCGCCAGCCCGGAAAGCCUUUUCUUGUUCAGUUUCUGUGUCAGUGGCUUGUCUUUGAUGAGUGUGUGUGACUGUUGCGUGUGGUGCCCUUCUGUUUCCUGCCCUUACAGAUGGACUAAGGAUGAGAAGGCGGGAUGCAAGCCGCAAGCUCCAGCUGUCGCUGGUUAAAGUGCAGCGAGUAGGCUGUGAAUUGGCCAUUUGGCUCAGGCAAAAUGAAGAAGGGGUUCCCCUUCCCUUUCAGAACCCGGAGCCAAGCUUCCAGUUCAUCAGUCGGAUAUUUAACCCUCUCCACUUUGCCCAGAGUGCAGAGAGUGACAAGAAGAAAGACCUUUCAGGUUAUUCAAGACUUUGCUUGGGAAAUAC